rnacentral:rRNA from 1 species
ACUGCUCAGUAACACGUGGAUAACCUACCCUCAGGAGGGGGAUAACCCCGGGAAACUGGGGAUAAUACCCCAUAGAUCAGGGACGCUGGAAUGCCCCCUGAUUCAAAGGUCCGCCGCCUGAGGAUGGGUCUGCGGCCGAUUAGGUUGUUGUUGGGGUAACGGCCCAACAAGCCAUUGAUCGGUACGGGUUGUGAGAGCAAGAGCCCGGAGAUGGAUUCUGAGACACGAAUCCAGGCCCUACGGGGCGCAGCAGGCGCGAAAACUUUACAAUGCGAGAAAUCGUGAUAAGGGAACCCCGAGUGCCCGUAAAUUCGGGCUGUCCGCCAGUGUAAAUAACUGGUGAAGAAAGGGCCGGGCAAGACCGGUGCCAGCCGCCGCGGUAAUACCGGCGGCUCGAGUGGUGGCCACUAUUACUGGGCUUAAAGCGUCCGUAGCUGGAUUGUUAAGUCUCUUGGGAAAUCCACCGGCUCAACCGAUGGGCGUUCAGGAGAAACUGGCAAUCUAGGGACCGGGAGAGGUGAGAGGUACUCCAGGGGUAGGAGUGAAAUCCUGUAAUCCUUGGGGGACCACCUGUGGCGAAGGCGUCUCACUAGAACGGCUCCGACAGUGAGGGACGAAAGCUGGGGGAGCAAACCGGAUUAGAUACCCGGGUAGUCCCAGCUGUAAACGAUGCGCGUUAGGUGUAUCGGUGACCACGAGUCAUCGAGGUGCCGAAGGGAAACCGUGAAACGUGCCGCCUGUGAAGUACGGUCGCAAGGCUGAAACUUAAAGGAAUUGGCGGGGGAGCAC